GAUAUGGUUAUUGAGAUUUUUUCGGAAUCUACAUCUACACGAUCAGCUGGGCUCGUAGUCACAGCCAUCGUAGCGGUAAGUUUAUUAAUAAUUUUUUUUACUUAUUUUAAAUUUUUUUAUUUAGAAGCUUUACAUGUUUAGGCUUGAGUCUGGGAAUGAAAUCUAACAGGUAAAAUUUUAAUUUAACCAUCUAAUCAAUGGAUCAAAAAUAUCUAUAACUCCAUAUCAUCGAAUGAAACGUAUAGAAAUAAUCUAUUCAAGAAUCGGAGUAGUACAUCAAAAUAUAUACCUCCG
rnacentral:lncRNA from 1 species